UACGUAGGGGGCGAGCGUUAUCCGGAUUUACUGGGCGUAAAGCGCGUUAAGGCGGUUGGCAAAGUUGGUGGUGAAAUCUCAGGGCUCAACCCUGAAACUGCCUCCAAUACUGGUCGACUAGAGUGCGAGAGAGGAAGGUGGAAUUCCCGGUGUAGUAGUGAAAUGCGUAGAUAUCAGGAGGAAUACCGAUGGCGAAGGCAGGUCUCUGGGCUGACACUGACGCUCAUGCACGAAAGCGUGGGGAGCAAACAGG
rnacentral:rRNA from 1 species